GGAUAGAAUUUUGGGGUGCGCCGUGCGUGAGGCAGAGCGCAGCGCGAGCACCAAUCACCACGUGUUCUCGAUCCUUACUGGCCUUGAGCACAGCAACAAGGUGGCUAAUAGCAAGAGUCGUGCCCCACGAGUAACGGAUUCCAUCAGGCUUUGCAGUAUGUGAACAUGUUGAGCUGUGAUUUUGUUGACGGGGACAUGUAAGGAAGGCUGAGUGUCAGGAAUGGACCAGUGGUCAGAUGGGUGGUGGUGAAUACACCUGCGCAAGGACUUGAAGAUCAUUUAAACUACAGUAAUGAUGCAGUAUACAGUGGGCGUUUUUUCUCCUGGCCUCAUCUUUCCUGAUGAGUUGAGCAGCUCCAUGACUGUGCACACGUAACCAUUGGUGGCUGACAUCCAUGAUGAACUGAAGAAAUUCACCUUUAUACUGGGACCCCUUUCGGUGCGCAAUGUAGGAAUUCAGAAGAAUACGGAAUAUGAAAUGAAUUCCAAGCUUUUUGAACCAGGCUAGGCUUUUCCUUCUGAAAGCAUAAGGCUCCAGCAACUGGUCAACCAUAUCUACAGUUCCCAUUUUGCUGUUAUAUUUUUCAAUGUGCAGUGGUCUAUUAUAGAAAAGUCUUUUCCCCAAAGUACGUUUUGCACUUUUCAACCAUACCAGCAGUGUAUUUUGUGGUGAGCAGUCACUUCUUUCUUGUCCUGGUACUUGACAACUAAAGUAUUCCCUUGUCUGGCAAAAACAGAUUGAAAUCUCUCAAAUUUUUCAGCCAUCAUCCUUUUGGGGGGUCCUCUACCACUUCUCACAACACCAGUCAUUGUGGUGUUACAGCUCAGCAAGUAAUUGCUAAGUCUGAGACUUGUGUACCAGUUAUUGGUAACUACAUGUCGACUGUGGUCCAGUAAGUCCUUCAUCAAAUGUAUGAUAAUGUCUUCUGGAAUGCUAAGGUUCCCUGCUGCUGGAUCAUCAAUUUUGAAGGCCCCUUUGCCGUAAUAGACAGCAAAAUUCCAGGAAUAUCCAUCCCAGUGGUCACCAGAGGGGCAAAGAACAAAUACCUUGAUGCCAAAAUGAGCGUUCUUUGUUUUUAUGAACUGUCUAAAUCCAAGAUGACCCUUCCACAAAAUAAGUGCUUCAUCAACAGCUACAUCCUCACCUGGUUGCAUAACUGCUUGGCACCUGUUCCUCAUCAGGUCCAAAAAUGGUUCAAUUCUGGUUGACAGUACAUUUUUCUUGACAGUGGCAGCAGAUGAAAAUCUCAAGAAUUUGAGAAUGGAGAGAAACCUAUUCCUAGUCAUCACUUCCUUUGUGAAAACUUGUGGGCCUCCAAAAACUGCAUUAUGUGACCAAUACAUAUGCAUAUUGGUAUUGGCUAUCAAUAACCCAAAGAAUACAUGCAUGUUAUCUGCUGUUACUGGUUCCCACUUAAGCCCAUAUACUUUUUUCUUUGUUGGAUUUUCAGCAAAAUAAACAUCAGCUUUCUCAUUAGCCCAUGAACACAAUUUAGAAAUCACAUAGCCAUCUAUAGAAUGACUAAAAGCAUCUCCAGGAGUAUGGAAAGUAAGGGCUGGAAUAGCCUGGGGCCCUUGGGCAGCACCAUUGGUGAAGCCGGGCGGUGCACGUGGCUGUGCAUCAGCAAAGAUGUUGACAAGAAACUGCCACCCACUGUUUUCAACUGGAUCAACAUCCUGCCAUAAUUCACUAUCACUAAGCUCCAGUUCACUGUCACUACUCUCAUCUUCACUCUCACAUUCUGGCACAUAUGAUGUAUCAGAGUCUGAAUCACCCCUGUCCGACAUGGCGGUAAAUUCCUUAAAACUAUCACAAGAUAUAGCAAAAAUAAGUUUCCAAUAAUGGCAAGGUAAUGAGAAGACACUAAAGUACGUCCUUUUGUAUCGAUCGCCUUAGGCAAACUGGGCAUGGAGAGGCACUUGCGGCCAGUAAUAUUCUAUGUUGGCCAGUCACGCCACAUAUUAGCAAAUUGAUUGGCUGAUGGGCGUGGCUUAUUUUUAUUCCCAGCAGUAGGCUAUACCAGGGUCAUAGACUGCCUACAGGACAAAAAACCACUCCGCAUUAUGUAUGGGUAUUGCAUGACACAUAUGUAUACGUCAUGGUGUUUGGUACGGAGCAUGUCCGUGAUGUAAAGGUGUACGUCAUGGGCGUGAAGGGGUUAAGCUUUUAAAUAUCACUUGCAUAGUAGAGACAUGGGUGACUAGUGCUGUAUGUGACUUGCCUCUGUUAAUGGUUAUCAAAUUGUUAGAUCAAACAUUGUGGAUGCCAUCACCAAACCAAAUAAAGUUUUCUUCAUGCAAGACAGCACUUCUUUCCUAUCUGUUCAUUGUGAUUUAAUAUUAGAAUGUUGCUGUUAUCUAUCUGAUGAUCUGAAUAAGUUUUUUGUGUACCUUUCUUUGGUUUAUCAUCCCAUAAGUGCUUGGUCCCAAGAAAAUAUUAAGUUGGUGAACUUCUUAGCUGAGUUGUAUGGAUAAAGGGUUGUCAUUAUGAGAGAUUCCAAGCUCCCAGAGAUAAAUUGAUCUAUACAGAA